rnacentral:rRNA from 1 species
GACGAACGCUGGCGGCGUGCUUAACACAUGCAAGUCGAACGGAGAUUCAGCAAUGGAUCUUAGUGGCGAACGGGUGAGUAACGCGUAGGCAAUCUGCCUUCUAGAUGGGGGCAACAUCCCGAAAGGGGUGCUAAUACCGAAUGUUGUAGUUGGCUCGCAUGGACUAGCUACUAAAGGUGGCCUCUGAAUAUGCUACCGCUAGAAGAUGAGCCUGCGUCUGAUUAGCUAGUUGGAGGGGUAACGGCCCACCAAGGCUUCGAUCAGUAGCCGGUCUGAGAGGAUGAACGGCCACACUGGGACUGAGACACGGCCCAGACUCCUACGGGAGGCAGCAGUGGGGAAUCUUCCGCAAUGGACGGAAGUCUGACGGAGCAACGCCGCGUGAGUGAAGAAGGUUUUCGGAUCGUAAAGCUCUUUCGUCAGGGACGAACGUAUUUCUUGUAAAUAAUGAGAGAUAGUGACGGUACCUGAAUAAGAAGCCACGGCUAACUACGUGCCAGCCGCCGCAGUAAGAC